rnacentral:rRNA from 1 species
UACGUAGGGUGCGAGCGUUGUCCGGAAUUAUUGGGCGUAAAGGGCUCGUAGGCGGUUUGUCACGUCGGGAGUGAAAACUCAGGGCUUAACCCUGAGCCUGCUUCCGAUACGGGCAGACUAGAGGUAUGCAGGGGAGAACGGAAUUCCUGGUGUAGCGGUGAAAUGCGCAGAUAUCAGGAGGAACACCGGUGGCGAAGGCGGUUCUCUGGGCAUUACCUGACGCUCAGGUGCGAAAGCUAGGGGAGCGAACAGG